UUGCUUUGGCAGCACCUAUAUUAAAAUUGGAACGAUACAGAGAAGAUUAGCAUGGCUUCUGCACAAAGAUGACACCCAAAUUCGUGAAGCAUUCCAUAUUUUU